rnacentral:rRNA from 1 species
GACGAACGCUGGCGGCGUGCCUAAUACAUGCAAGUCGAACGCAGUGGGGAUGGGUGAGUAACACGUGGGUAACCUCCCCAGCAGAGGAGAUAACAGUUGGCAACAGGUGCUAAACCGAUACUGAUGGAUGGACCAGCGGUGCAUUAGGUAGUUGGUGAGGUAACUGCUCACCAAGGCCACGAUGCAUAGCCGACCGGAGAGGGUGAUCGGCCACACUGGUACUGAGACACGGCCCUGACUCCUACGGGAGGCAGCAGUAGGGAAUCUUCGGCAAUGGACGAAAGGCUGACCGAUCAACGCCGCGUUAGUGAAGAAGGUUUUCGGGUUGUAAAACUCUUUUGUUAGAGAAGCGGUAUCUAACCAGAAAGCCACGGCUAACUACGUGCCAGCAGCCGCGGUAAUAC